rnacentral:lncRNA from 1 species
AACAGAAACACACAUUAAACAAGGUAUACGUGGAUCAGUUGAUGAAAAUUUUGUGAACAAAUACGUGUCAGAACAUAACCCUGUAUUUCCCCUAGGGGCAAUGAUUCCAUAUUAGCUAAUUCAGUAUUUAUAGUGACUUUAUAGAACAUAAGUACUGUUAACAAUGAGAAUCACUUAAUUUUAAAGACAGUGACAGGAUAUGUUAAUGGCUUGAAAAUGGGUUAUGAGAGAAAGAGGACUUUAAGGUAUUUGGCCCAAACGACAGAAUGGAGUUGCCAUUUGCUUAUGUGGGAGGAGCAUUUUUAGUGGGUGAGAGGAAAUCAUGUUUGAUCUAAGUCACACUAAGUAAGAAAUGUCUUUAGACAUCCGAGUAGAGGUCAUAAGUAAUCAGCAAGACAUAUGGGUCUCUACAAGAGGGUAUUGAUCCCACAUUUCAACUCUAUCAGCUACUUCAACUGUAUGCUCUUUCUUUACUAAUCCUCUGGGUUCUCACCAGGAGGAAUCAACCACAACAGCCAGUGAGUGGAUAGAGAAGGAAGUGGGGUGAGGAAGAGAAAAGAAACCAACUGUAUCCCUCUUUAUCCUGGCAGGCCAGAGUUGAGGAGUUUGGAGUUUUGGUCAUUACAAUGGAUUUGACUAUUUAAGCUUAUAAGCAACUUUUUAUUACUCAUGACUGAUAGAAAAGCUGUGGGAUCUGCCUGAGUUUUUAUCACAAGGUUGGGGAAGAAUGGGCCCAAAGUGUGAGUUUCACAGGAAAAGAUAAUGCAUCCUAGUAAGUACAACUAUGUCUAUAACUUUAAUUAUCUUUCAUAUGCUUUAGGCUUUCAGAUUUACAUCUUCAAACAAGACCUUUUUUACAGUCUUUAGACCCAUAUAUCUAUCUGCCUACUUAAUAUUUCUAUUUGGGUGUCUCAGAGGUUACUCAAAUUCAACAUGUGUGGCAUUGAACUCAGAGUCUCCUUACCAUACCCACCUUCCCUUUACCUCUCAAAAAAAAAAAAAAAAAAAAGCUGGUCUCUUUUCACUUUCCUAUUUUGGUGAAAGACACCAUCAUCCAUCCACCUGGAUAUGUCAGACCCUUGGACAUUAUCCUUGAUGUCUCCUCACUCUAAUUGAUAUUACUUCCUCAUUCUCGAUAACCAAUUCAUCAUUACACCCUGGGAUUUCAACUUCCAGAUUAUCUUUUGAAUCUGUAUACUUCUUCUCAACUCUGCUGCCAUCACUUUCUGGGCAGCGUUAGAGAACAUGGGAUAUGAGCUAGACUGCCUGGCUUGGAUUUCUUUCCCAUUGCUUGUUAUUUUUAUGACCUUGUCAAGUCACUCAACAGCUCCAAAGUUCAUUUUCCACGUUGUAAAGAUAUUUACAAUCUCUAAUACAUAGUAUUAUUGUAAGUAUUACAUGGGAUAUAGUAUAUCUGGUGGAUGAAUUCUAAAUGAGCUACUGUUUCAGAUCGGCUUAAAAAACGGUGCACCACGAGACUAUAUCCCACACCUGGCUCAGAGGGUCCUACGCCCAC